rnacentral:rRNA from 1 species
AAAUAUUCCUGUACCGAUCAAUAGUGCGAUGUGGGGACAGAGAAGGUUAGCUCAGCCAACUGUUGGAUGUUGGUUCAAGCCUGUAGUCGUGCCUGGUAGGCAAAUCCGCCGGGCUUAGAUGAGGGGUGAUAACGAGUCUGCUUGCAGACGAAGUGAGUGAUACCCUGCUUCCAGGAAAAGCCACUAAGCUUCAGCUAUUGACGACCGUACCGCAAACCGACACUGGUGCGCGAGAUGAGUAUUCUAAGGCGCUUGAGAGAACUCAGGAGAAGGAACUCGGCAAAUUGACACCGUAACUUCGGGAGAAGGUGUGCCCUCAGUAGGUGAACCUGUACAAGGGGAGCCCAAAGGGGUUGCAAAGAAUCGGUGGCUGCGACUGUUUAUUAAAAACACAGCACUCUGCAAACACGAAAGUGGACGUAUAGGGUGUGACGCCUGCCCGGUGCUGGAAGAUUAAAUGAUGGGGUGCAAGCUCUUGAUUGAAGUCCCAGUAAACGGCGGCCGUAACAAUAACGGUCCUAAGGCAGCGAAAUUCCUUGUCGGGUAAGUUCCGACCUGCACGAAUGGCGUAACGAUGGCCACACUGUCUCCUCCUGAGACUCAGCGAAGUUGAAAUGUUUGUGAUGAUGCGAUCUCCCCGCGGAAAGACGGAAAGACCCCAUGAACCUUUACUGUAGCUUUGUAUUGGACUUUGAACGGAUCUGUGUAGGAUAGGUGGGAGGCUUUGAAGCGGUGUCGCUAGACAUCGUGGAGCCAACGUUGAAAUACCACCCUGGUGCGUUUGAGGUUCUAACCUGGAUCCCUUAUCGGGAUUGGGGACAGUGCAUGGUAGGCAGUUUGACUGGGGCGGUCUCCUCCCAAAGCGUAACGGAGGAGUUCGAAGGUACGCUAGUUACGGUCGGACAUCGUGACGAUAGUGCAAUGGCAUAAGCGUGCUUAACUGCGAGACUGACAAGUCGAGCAGAUGCGAAAGCAGGACAUAGUGAUCCGGUGGUUCUGUAUGGAAGGGCCAUCGCUCAACGGAUAAAAGGUACUCUGGGGAUAACAGGCUGAUACCGCCCAAGAGUUCAUAUCGACGGCGGUGUUUGGCACCUCGAUGUCGGCUCAUCUCAUCCUGGGGCUGUAGCCGGUCCCAAGGGUAUGGCUGUUCGCCAUUUAAAGAGGUACGUGAGCUGGGUUUAAAACGUCGUGAGACAGUUUGGUCCCUAUCUUCCGUGGGCGCUGCAGAUUUGAGGAAGCCUGCUCCUAGUACGAGAGGACCGGAGUGGACACACCUCUGGUGUACCGGUUGUCACGCCAGUGGCAUCGCCGGGUAGCUAUGUGUGGAAGAGAUAACCGCUGAAAGCAUCUAAGCGGGAAACUCGUUUCAAGAUGAGAUCUGCCGGGGCCUUGAGCCCCCUAAAGAGUCGUUCAAGACCAGGACGUUGAUAGGCUGGGUGUGGAAGCGCAGUAAUGCGUUAAGCUAACCAGUACUAAUUGCUCGUGCGGCUUGACC